UAGGUAUAUGAUCUGUAGGUGUGGGUAUAUGGUCAGUAGGUGUAGGUAUAUGGUCAGGAGAUGUAGGUAUAUGGUCAGUAGGUGUCAAUAUCUGGUGAGUAGCUGUAGAUAUAUAGUCAGUAGGUGUCAGUAUAUGGUCAGUAGGUCUAGGUAUAUGAUCUGUAGAUGUGGGUAUAUGGUCAGUAGGUGUAGGUAUAUGGUCAGUAGGUGUAGGUAUAUGGUCAGGAGAUGUAGGUAUAUGGUCAGUAGGUGUAGGUAUAUGAUCCGUAGGUGUAGGUAUAUGAUCAGUAGGUGUAGGUAUAUGAUCAGUAGGUGUAGGUAGAUGGUCAGUAGGUGUAGGUAUAUGGUCAGUAGGUGUAGGUAUAUGAUCAGUAGGUGUAGGUAUAUGGUCAGUAGGUGUAGGUAUAUGAUCAGUAGAUGCAGGUAUAUGGUCAGUAGGUGUAGGUAUAUGGUCAGUAGGUGUCAGUAUCUGUCAGUAUCUGGUCAGUAGGUGUAGGUAUAUGGUCAGUAGGUGUAGGUAUAUGAUCAGUAGAUGCAGGUAUAUGGUCAGUAGGUGUAGGUAUAUGGUCAGUUGGUGUCAGUAUCUGUCAGUAUCUGGUCAGUAGGUGUGGGUAUAUGGUCAGUAGGUGUCAGUAUCUGUAAGUAUCUGGUCAGUAGGUGUAGGGAUAUGGUCAGUAGCUGUAGGUAUAUGGUCAGUAGAUGCAGGUAUAUGGUCAGUAGGUGUAGGUAUAUGGUCAGUAGGUGUCAGUAUCUGGUCAGUAGGUGUAGGUAUAUGGUCAGUAGGUUUAGGUAUAUGGUCAGUAGAUGCAGGUAUAUGGUCAGUAGGUGUAGGUAUAUGAUCAGUAGGUGUAGGUAUAUGGUAAGUAGGUGUAUAUAGUCAGUAGGUGUCGGUAUCUGGUCAGAAGGUGUAGGUAUAUGGUCAGUAGAUGCAGGUAUAUGAUCAGUAGGUGUAGGUAUAUGAUCAAUAGGUGUAGGUAUUUAAUCAGUAGGUGCAGGGAUAUAAUCAGUAGGUGUAGGUAUAUGGUCAGGAGAUGUAGGUAUAUGGUCAGUAGGUGUAGGUAUAUGGUCAGUAGGUGUAUAUAGUCAGUAGGUGUCGAUAUCUGGUCAGAAGGUGUAGGUAUAUGGUCAGUAGAUGCAGGUAUAUGGUCAGUAGGUGUGGGUAUAUGAUCGGUAGGUGUAGGUAUAUGGUCAGUAGGUGUAUAUAGUCAGUAGGUGUCGAUAUCUGGUCAGAAGGUGUAGGUAUAUGGUCAGUAGAUGCAGGUAUAUGAUCAGUAGGUACAGGUAUAUAAUCAGUAGGUGCAGGAAUAUGAUCAGUAGGUGUAGGUAGAUGGUCAGUAGGUGUAGGUAUAUGGUCAGUAGGUGCAGGUAUAUGAUCAGUAGGUACAGGGAUAUAAUCAGUAGGUGUAGGUAUAUGGUCAGGAGACGUAGGUAUAUGGUCAGUAGGUGUAGGUAUAUGGUCAGGAGAUGUAGGUAUAUGGUCAGUAGGUGUAGGUAUAUGAUCAGUAGGUGCAGGGAUAUAAUCAGUAGGUGUAGGAAUAUGAUCAAU